rnacentral:rRNA from 1 species
CGGACGGGUGAGUAACGCGUGAGAAUCUGCCCUCAGGAGGGGGAUAACGGUUGGAAACGGCCGCUAAUACCCCAUAUUCCGAGAGGUGAAAGGAAUUUCGCCUGAGGAUGAGCUCGCGUCUGAUUAGCUAGUUGGUGGGGUAAAGGCCUACCAAGGCGACGAUCAGUAGCUGGUCUGAGAGGAUGAUCAGCCACACUGGGACUGAGACACGGCCCAGACUCCUACGGGAGGCAGCAGUGGGGAAUUUUCCGCAAUGGGCGAAAGCCUGACGGAGCAACGCCGCGUGAGGGAUGAAGGCCUCUGGGCUGUAAACCUCUUUUCUCAAGGAAGAAGAUCUGACGGUACUUGAGGAAUAAGCCACGGCUAAUUCCGUGCCAGCAGCCGCGGUAAUACGGGAGUGGCAAGCGUUAUCCGGAAUUAUUGGGCGUAAAGCGUCCGCAGGCGGCCUCGUAAGUCUGUCGUUAAGCGUGGAGCUUAACUCCAUUUCAGCGAUGGAAACUGCGAGGCUUGAGUGUGGUAGGGGCAGAGGGAAUUCCCGGUGUAGCGGUGAAAUGCGUAGAUAUCGGGAAGAACACCAGUGGCGAAGGCGCUCUGCUGGGCCAUAACUGACGCUCAUGGACGAAAGCCAGGGGAGCGAAAGGGAUUAGAUACCCCUGUAGUCCUGGCCGUAAACGAUGAACACUAGGUGUCGGGGGAAUCGACCCCCUCGGUGUCGUAGCCAACGCGUUAAGUGUUCCGCCUGGGGAGUACGCACGCAAGUGUGAAACUCAAAGGAAUUGACGGGGGCCCGCACAAGCGGUGGAGUAUGUGGUUUAAUUCGAUGCAACGCGAAGAACCUUACCAGGGUUUGACAUCCUGCGAACCCCUGAGAAAUCGGGGGGUGCCUUCGGGAACGCAGUGACAGGUGGCGCAUGGCUGCCGUCAGCUCGUGUCGUGAGAUGUUGGGUUAAGUCCCGCAACGAGCGCAACCCACGUCUUUAGUUGCCAGCAUUCAGUUGGGCACUCUAGAGAGACCGCCGGUGAUAAACCGGAGGAGG